ensembl:lncRNA
AGUCGGUUGGGCGUCCGACUUCAGCUCAGGUCACGAUCUCGCGGUCCGUGAGUUCGAGCCCCGCGUGGGGCUCUGGGUUGAUGGCUCAGAGCCUGGAGCCUGUUUCCGAUUCUGUGUCUCCCUCUCUCUCUGGCCCUCCCCCGUUCAUGCUCUGUCUCUCUCUGUCUCAAAAAUAAAUAAACGUUAAAAAAAAAUUAAAAAAAAAAAACAACCAACCAAGCAAAUCACUCGAUGUCUUGCUUUGGCAGCCUUACCCCCUCCCCCCCAACAAAGUACUUAUCCUAGCAUGCUCUCCUACAAUUAGAAAUAAUACUACUAUAGAAAGGUGGUGGGCUUUCAACCGGAAGGACACCAGAGAUACAGUGUCUGUCCUCUUUGCUUAUGGGCAAGGACACAGAAACCAGGAGAGGCAACAUCUCACUCGGAGUAGAAGCCAUUUCUCCUUUCCAGGUGCAGGGCAAUUAGUUCUGCAUUGCUGGGAGCUUUGGAUUAAUUUGCAUUAAAAUAAAUAGUAAAAUGUUCCAAUUACAUUAUGUAAACCUCAUAGAAUGUUUACUCCUUAAGUUUGUGUAUACUCUUAAAAGCCAGAAAAGGCAUAGAGUAACUUAAAAUUCUGGUUUCCAAUUUUUACGACUUGUCUUUAAGGUACAGACCAUGUGGCUUUCUGUCUUGCAGAAUUCUGAAUGCUCUGAUGGCUCAACAAAUGGGACUGUUUUGAUCUGUCUUGACAGUAAGCUGGAGCACCGGUUUGAACCAUGUUUGAAAUAGACAGACAGCAUGAUGAUUACAAUAAUGCGCAUCAUAAAAGUUCUAUAAUUAGUAUUUUUUCCGUACCUUCUUCCCAUUUGACGUUCACUGUGAUGCAUGAAAAAAUCAAGAAGAAAUUAUCGAAUGAUGGUGAAAUUACAGCAAAGCGAGGCGACAAACCAGACCACGGGGUAGCAGCACCAAGCUCUCUGUCUUCUUCCCAUGGACAUCCAUCCACACAGCUGUUUUCACCACGUUCCAGUAAUAAACCCUCACUAAAUUCCUUGAAGUGAUUGGGUCCUUGAGUUCAGCCUCUGAUCCUGGUGCAUAAAUCUCUCUCGUAGAUUUUAAGUAUUUUCAACGACUUUGCUUUUCCCAUGGUUUAUUUCUUAUUCCCAACAACUUAAUCGCUCCACUUUUUUUUCUGUUUGUUUUUUCCAUUUGCAGCCUUUUGGGUCUCAUCGCUCGAUUGCCACGACUACAUUUUACUUUCACUUUGAGGUUCAACUUGAAACCAUUAACAUGUAAGAUUCCCAUUAAAGUAAGAAAGUGUGUAUUCUCCAGCCAUCAGAUGUGCUUAAAUCGUGGAAUGGAAAACAUUUACUUCUAUAUGAAUGGAAACACUAUCGACUUGUACACAAUUUAAGCUAGGAGAGCAUCUUCAGUCUCUCUGUGGGCGAGCGAUAAAAAGCUGUAGCUGAUUAUGUGUGUGCCUGUGUUGGGAACUGUUUGUGAUGUUCUAGCUCUGAACAUGUAUUAAAAUUGCCAUCUGUAAUAUGAACAUUUUGUAUGAUUCUUGGAUUUCUCAGUGCUUUCUCCCAGUGACAGAACAGCACUUUGUGUUUUCAUAUGUGCCCCUGAAAUCUGAUUUGAUAUUCUCAGUUUUAACUUAAGCUUUAGACAUUAGUAUAAGAUGGAAGCUAGUUUAUCAUUACUAAGCCCCCUUAUGGUUUUGUAUGUUCUGGAGAAAACUCAAGUCAUUAUUUUAAAAGUCCACACGCGCUAUCCGGAAUCAAGGCUGACUGCCCCCACGAAUACACGUGAUUUAAGAAAUAUUAUGUCAGAAGAUGAUUCAGAUCUUUAAGAACUACUAGGCAUGAAGGAUAAAGUGAUUCUUUAAUUGUUCAGUGAUUUUAAAAAAAAAGGUUCAGCAAUACAAACUCCACAUCUGCUUCAACUGCAGACAUAUAAAACCAGUGUGACAAAAAAGGAUCAUUAAACAAUCUGAUUUUCUUGUUGGGAGGGUUUAAUGCUGUUGGGUAUAGUAUUAAAAUGCAGAAUUUGAUAGCAUGUCUUAAACUUUUAAUGAUGUGUCCAUGAAUAUAAAACAUGCUUCUGCUAGUAACUUUAUGACUUCUCCUCUGCAUAAUUAGUGGUAUCUGUUUUAUGAGCUUACUGUUGUUUCCUUGAUCCCAUGAAAAUGUGAAACCACUGUAAUGAUCUACACCAUUCCAGAACUUUAAAGAUAUGAGCUGUUUCUUAAACUAAAUAACAAAAAAAAAAAAAAAAAAAAGAAAAGAAAAGAAAAGAAAAAAAAUUCUGAAAGUAUUAUACUAGAGUUAAAGUCAUACUGGGACCUUUCAAUGUUAAAAAACAAGUCCACACAUGUAGGAUUUGAAAAUAAAUACAUUUUUUUUUUACA